rnacentral:lncRNA from 1 species
AACACCAAGAUGGCGGACGGCCCGGAUGAGUACGAUACCGAAGCGGGCUGUGUGCCCCUUCUCCACCCAGAGAUAUGGAAUAUAUGAACGCUGUCGAGAAUUGGUGGAAGCAGGUUAUGAUGUACGGCAACCGGACAAAGAAAAUGUUACCCUCCUCCAUUGGGCUGCCAUCAAUAACAGAAUAGAUUUAGUCAAACAAGGCCAUCUAUCCAUGGUUGUGCAACUAAUGAAAUAUGGUGCAGAUCCUUCAUUAAUUGAUGGAGAAGGAUGUAGCUG